AUUUGAAAUCUGGUACCUUUGGGUGCCCGAGUUGUAAUUUGGAGAGGCAACUUCGGAGGGGGCGCUGGCCUAAGUUCCUUGGAWMAGGACGUCACAGAGGGUGAGAAUCCCGUGCUUGGCUGGCUGUCCUCCUUCAUGUGAAGUGUCUUCGACGAGUCGAGUUGUUUGGGAAUGCAGCUCAAAAUGGGUGGUAAACUCCAUCUAAGGCUAAAUAUUGGCGAGAGACCGAUAGCGCACAAGUAGAGUGAUCGAAAGAUGAAAAGCACUUUGAAAAGAGAGUUAAACAGUACGUGAAAUUGUUGAAAGGGAAGCGCUUGAGACCAGACUCGGUGAGAGGUGAUCAGCGGUUGCUUCUGCUCCGUGCACUUGCCUGUUAUCGGGCCAGCAUCAGUUGCGACGGCGGGAUAAAGCUUUGAGGAAUGUGGCUCCCUUUGGGGAGUGUUAUAGCCUUGGGGGUAAUGCCGCCUGUUGCGACUGAGGACCGCGCUUCGGCUAGGAUGCUGGCAUAAUGGUCUUCAGCGACCCGUCUUGAAACACGGACCAAGGAGUCUAUCAUCUAUGCGAGUGUUCGGGUGGAAAACCCCUACGCGUAAUGAAAGUGAACGGAGGUGGGAACUCUUUGGAGUGCACCAUCGACCGAUCCUGAUGUCUUCGGAUGGAUUUGAGUAGGAGCAUAGCUGUUGGGACCCGAAAGAUGGUGAACUAUGCCUGAAUAGGGUGAAGCCAGAGGAAACUCUGGUGGAGGCUCGCAGCGGUUCUGACGUGCAAAUCGAUCGUCAAAUUUGGGUAUAGGGGCGAAAGACUAAUCGAACCAUCUAGUAGCUGG
rnacentral:rRNA from 1 species